rnacentral:rRNA from 1 species
GAAGGGUGCAAGCGUUACUCGGAAUUACUGGGCGUAAAGCGUGCGUAGGUGGUUCGUUAAGUCUGUCGUGAAAGCCCCGGGCUCAACCUGGGAAUGGCGAUGGAUACUGGCGGGCUAGAGUGCGGUAGAGGAGAGUGGAAUUCCCGGUGUAGCAGUGAAAUGCGUAGAGAUCGGGAGGAACAUCAGUUGCGAAGGCGGCUCUCUGGACCAGCACUGACACUGGGGCACGAAAGCGUGGGGAGCAAACAGGAUUAGAUACCCUGGUAGUCCACGCCCUAAACGAUGCGAACUGGACGUUGGGAGCAACUAGGCUCUCAGUGUCGAAGCUAACGCGUUAAGUUCGCCGCCUGGGGAGUACGGUCGCAAGACUG